UUAUAUAAGCCAACCCCGUUCUUUGUAGGGUAGACCUCCACUGAAGUCUUCCAGCUGUCUACAUUCUCAGCACCGGCUGAACCACCCAAGCCCAAAGAUGUUCACCUUGAAGAAAUCCCUGUUGCUCCUUUUCUUCCUUGGGAUCAUCAACGUAUCUCUCUGUGAGGAAGAGAGAGAUGCCGAUGAGGAAGAAAGAAAAGAUGAUCCCGAAGAAAGGGAUGUUGAAGUGGAAAAACGAGGGA